GGCGACGUGGCCGGCGGCGGCGGCGUAGGGGGCUGCUCGCGUGCAGUUCGCCGAGGGCGUCGUCAUCCUCGUCGUCGAGCUCGCUCGAUUCUUCCGACGACUUUGCCUACCAGCGGGUCAAGGGCCCCGUCGUCGAGGUGCUCCAACCUCGCUGGCCCCCGUUCCUGGACGUGGAGGCCCAGCGGCAGUGGGACCCCGCCACCCUGGACCAGCUCCUGGCCGACGACUGGGACUCAGACUGAAGCCGAGCGUGUGCCUGCGUUGUGUGUCAUGUGUGUGCACGCGCGCGCGCGCGCGCGUGUGUGUGUGUGUGUGUGUGUGUGUGUGUGUGUGUGUGUGUGUGUGUGUUUGUGACCUUGUGACCGUGUCACUGUGGUUGUCUCUCUUGUACCAUGUAUGUAAUUCUAAGGACGGGCACGCGCGGGACGCGUGUGACUAAAAAUAAAUUUCAAUUUCUUUCCCAUCA